rnacentral:lncRNA from 1 species
GGAUGGCAGGUAGGCAGUGAGGAAGAAGGGCUUGGACCAUGUGGGAGUGAAUGCACGCAGGGUCGACGACUUUUUCAGGAAAGCUGAGCAUCAAAGGCAGGAGGCCCCGUAAGAAGGAUAGUAUUAGGAAGGCACCAUCUGUGGUUUGUCAAAAUUUUGACAUGUGGCAUAACCUGCCACUAAUCAAAACAGAG